rnacentral:rRNA from 1 species
GACAGAGGGUGCAAACGUUGUUCGGAAUUACUGGGCGUAAAGCGCGUGUAGGCGGCAAGGCAAGUCGGAUGUGAAAGCCCGCGGCUCAACCGUGGAAGUGCAGUCGAAACUGCCUAGCUAGAGUCUCGGAGAGGAAGGUGGAAUGCUUGGUGUAGAGGUGAAAUUCGUAGAUAUCAAGCAGAACACCUGUGGCGAAGGCGGCCUUCUGGACGAUGACUGACGCUGAGACGCGAAAGCGUGGGGAGCAAACAGG